AUUGAACGCUGGCGGCAGGCCUAACACAUGCAAGUCGAGCGGAGCGGCGGACGGGUGAGUAAUGCCUAGGAAUCUGCCUGGUAGUGGGGGAUAACGUCCGGAAACGGGCGCUAAUACCGCAUACUAUAAGAUGAGACUAGGUCGGAUUAGCUAGUUGGUGGGGUAAAGGCAUAACAAGGCGAAGAUCCGUAGCUGGUCUGAGAGGAUGAGCAGCCACCAUGGAUCUGAGACCCGGUCCAGACUCCUACGGGAGGCAGCAGUGGUGAAUAUUGGACAAUGGGCGCAAGCCUGAUCCAGCCAUACCGCGUGAGUGAAGAAGGCCUUCGGGUUGUAAAGCCCUUUUGUUGGGAAAGCGGUACCCAAAGAAUAAGCACCGGCUAACUUCGUGCCAGCAGCCGCGGUAAUAC
rnacentral:rRNA from 1 species